rnacentral:rRNA from 1 species
CCUACGGGAGGCUGCAGUGGGGAAUAUUGGACAAUGGGGGGAACCCUGAUCCAGCCAUGCCGCGUGUGUGAAGAAGGCCCUCGGGUUGUAAAGCACUUUCAGUGAGGAAGAACGCCUGGUGGUUAAUACCCAUCAGGAAAGACAUCACUCACAGAAGAAGCACCGGCUAACUCCGUGCCAGCAGCCGCGGUAAUACGGAGGGUGCGAGCGUUAAUCGGAAUUACUGGGCGUAAAGCGCGCGUAGGUGGCUUGAUAAGCCGGUUGUGAAAGCCCCGGGCUCAACCUGGGAACGGCAUCCGGAACUGUCAGGCUAGAGUGCAGGAGAGGAAGGUAGAAUUCCCGGUGUAGCGGUGAAAUGCGUAGAGAUCGGGAGGAAUACCAGUGGCGAAGGCGGCCUUCUGGACUGACACUGACACUGAGGUGCGAAAGCGUGGGUAGCAAACAGGAUUAGAUACCCUGGUAGUC